rnacentral:sRNA from 1 species
CAAGCGAUUCCUGGGACCGUUAUCUCAAAAUAGAAGGUGUCUCGUCUUCAAUCUCCGCUCUCUCGCAAUUCUACAAUUCCGAGACUCAGCGACCGAAGAGAGAAGACGCAUUUAAAAAAAUCAAGACCGUUUGCGCCUUGAGUCACUCCUUAUACACGUGGCCGUAUGGCACGUCCUACCCUCCUAUUUCUAGUGCCUGUCCCCUGUAUCAGUUCGUGGCCGUCGAAAGACAUCGAGUGAGAAAGUCGGAAACAGAUUGCUGUCAUUCUCAGCUAUUUGGGUGAAAGAACAAGCAAGGAGGGGAAUGAGCGCAUUUAAUCUCGUCACCUCGAAUCAUCUAUUCUGGGACCGAUGCUCGUGAAACCAUAAUUGCCAGAGGCGCAACGUGUUUGCCACAUGAGAUAUGCACUUUUUAUAUAGAAAGAAUGAGUCGGUUUGACAUCGGCAACUCGACAUCGACAACUUCUGGUAUAAUCUUGUAUAUGAUGGAAAGGGGAGAAUAAUGAGAAAAUCGUCCGUUAACUCUAUGAUGUUGGUAAAAUCAAUUGAUUAUGAUGACUCUAAGGAAGUAUAGCUAUGUAUAGUUAGUUAUGCUAUCUAAAUACUUAUCUAAACAACGAAUGCCUUUUGUUAGAAGUAAAAAAAAUAAAUAAAAUAAAAUAAAAACGCUCGAGGGCAGAAGCAAACCUUAUACAUCUGCCUAUUUCUGCCCAUUAUCAACGAAGGCUGAUAAGGAAAAGGUCAGUGGGAUAGAUAUCAAGACUACGAAAUAGCCUCGACAAAAUCCAAAAGAAUGAUCCUGGAUACA